rnacentral:rRNA from 1 species
GAUGAACGCUGGCGGCGUGCCUAAUACAUGCAAGUCGAGCGAACAGAUGAGGAGCUUGCUCCUCUGACGUUAGCGGCGGACGGGUGAGUAACACGUGGAUAACCUACCUAUAAGACUGGGCUAACUUCGGGAAACCGGAGCUAAUACCGGAUAAUAUAUUGAACCGCAUGGUUCAAUAGUGACAGACGGUUUUGCUGUCACUUAUAGAUGGAUCCGCGCCGCAUUAGCUAGUUGGUAAGGUAACGGCUUACCAAGGCAACGAUGCGUAGCCGACCUGAGAGGGUGAUCGGCCACACUGGAACUGAGACACGGUCCAGACUCCUACGGGAGGCAGCAGUAGGGAAUCUUCCGCAAAGGGCGAAAGCCUGACGGAGCAACGCCGCGUGAGUGAUGAAGGUCUUCGGAUCGUAAAACUCUGUUAUUAGGGAAGAACAAAUGUGUAAGUAACUAUGCACGUCGUGACGGUACCUAAUCAGAAAGCAACGGCUAACUACGUG